UCGUCAUCAGUUUCCCUAAAGUGCAGGAUCACUGUAGAGUUAUUAUAAUAAAUCCUUAUGAUUGCGUGUUCCUAGUCACUGAAUAGGGUUGCUUACAAAGGGAUACAAAGUUGCUGAUUCUUAUGGAUCAACUGCAAUACAUUGACUGGUAAUGCCCGCCGCUCUCUUAGCAUGGUAGCCAUCCUUGCAUGUAAUUAUUCAGACUCGGGCCUGCUGUGACAACCGAUAUUGGGUCCGCAGGCUGGUAUCUGCGGUUCAUUGAAUUGAUAAUUUAAUGAGAUUAUGCAAACUCAUAAAAGCAUAUAUAAAAUAUAUGUUAGGCACCAUGCACGGUUAAAUUUCUUAUGUGAAACAAUAAUUAGGGCUUACCCAAUUUGCAAUGUGGGUUCACAUUCCAAGGCGUGAAAGAAGGUAUCGCCCUGAGGUUGAGCUGGUUUAAGCCCAUAACCACAAUCUUCUGCACUAGGAUUCAAUUGAAGUGUGUUCACUUGGUAUCCCUCCAUCA
rnacentral:lncRNA from 1 species